CAGGCCAUGCACCCCCCAAAAACUCCAUCUGGGGCUCUUCAUAGAAAAAGGAAAAUGGCAGCCUGGCCCUUCUCCAGGCUGUGGAAAGUCUCUGAUCCAAUUCUCUUCCAAAUGACCUUGAUCGCUGCUCUGUUGCCUGCUGUUCUUGCAAUUGUGGUCCUCCACCCACUUUAUCAUUUGCUGCCCCGAUGGAUAUUACGUUGACUGAGACACGCUUCAAAACUGGAACUACUCUGAAAUACACCUGCC
rnacentral:lncRNA from 1 species